UACGUAGGGUGCAAGCGUUAAUCGGAAUUACUGGGCGUAAAGCGUGCGCAGGCGGUUAUGUAAGACAGAUGUGAAAUCCCCGGGCUCAACCUGGGAACUGCAUCUGUGACUGCAUAGCUAGAGUACGGUAGAGGGGGAUGGAAUUCCGCGUGUAGCAGUGAAAUGCGUAGAUAUGCGGAGGAACACCGAUGGCGAAGGCAAUCCCCUGGACCUGUACUGACGCUCAUGCACGAAAGCGUGGGGAGCAAGCGGG
rnacentral:rRNA from 1 species